rnacentral:rRNA from 1 species
CACGUAGUUAGCCGUGACUUUCUGGUUGAUUACCGUCAAAUAAAGACCAGUUACUGCCUCUAUCCUUCUUCACCAACAACAGAGCUUUACGAUCCGAAAACCUUCUUCACUCACGCGGCGUUGCUCCAUCAGACUUGCGUCCAUUGUGGAAGAUUCCCUACUGCUGCCUCCCGCAGGAGUUUGGGCCGUGUCUCAGUCCCAAUGUGGCCGAUCAGUCUCUCAACUCGGCUACGCAUCAUUGCCUUGGUAGGCCUUUACCCCACCAACUAGCUAAUGCGCCGCGGGCUCAUCCUAAAGUGACAGCUUACGCCGCCUUUCAAACUUGAAUCAUGCGAUUCAUGUUGUUAUCCGGUAUUAGCACCUGUUUCCAAGUGGUAUCCCAGUCUUUAGGGCAGAUUGCCACGUGUUACUCACCAUCCGCCGCUAGCAUCCAACAAUCACCCCGAAGGAUCUUUGAAUUCAGCUCGCUCGACUUGCAUGUAUU